rnacentral:lncRNA from 1 species
CGACAGGAACACGUGGUCGAUCAGAGAGAGACUCGAGGUUUGUGAACGGAUGGGGAGGACCCUGAAAAGCACUGUGGAAUACAGGUUUCUAGUAACUUCAAAAUCACAUCAUUUGGACUGGCUUCUUUGGGAUGUCCGCUCUGCAUAUCUACUAGGGAAUUAAGAAAUAAUGGCUUCAGCAAGAAACAAGGCAGGAAAGUGCAGUGACAUGAGGACCACACAGGGAAGGAGCUGUCCCCAAAGCAGGGUCUUUGUGACUUGUACCUUGUGCAGACCUCCUACUUAUCCUGUGACUAAGAACACUGAACUUCCUGGGGUUACAGCCCCCAGGUCUCAGCCUCAUUUCAUCCAGCCCCUAUUCAAGAUGGAGUCACUCUGGUUCAAAUGCCUCUGACACUAGUAAGGAUCACAGGUGGCAUCAACAGGUUUGGAGCAAACCUGAGUGUCUCCCGGUUGGUCACAUCUCAACUGACGAAAUCCACGACCAGCAGAGAGCAGCCUCCUUGCCCCCUGUGCUCACUGAGUCAUCCAGCCCAUUUUGACUAAGAUUAUGUGAGUUGCUGGAGCAGAGGUUGGUUGAGGGAGCUCCCACUGUAGGUAAUCACAGUGUCUUGCACAAAAUAAAUAGAAAACACAAGAAUACACUCUUAUGCAUGAUCCUA